rnacentral:rRNA from 1 species
UACAUAGGUAGCGAGCGUUAUCCGGAAUAACUGGGCGUAAAGGGAGUGUAGGUGGCGUAUUAAGUCUUGUGUGAAAGCCCUCGGCUCAACUGAGGAACUGCACAAGAAACUGAUAUGCUAGAGUACGAGAGAGGCAAGUGGAAUUCCUAGUGUAGCGGUAGAAUGCGUAGAGAUUAGGAGGAACACCAGAGGCGAAGGCGACUUGCUGGCUCGCAACUGACACUGAGACUCGAAAGCGUGGGGAGCAAAC